GGGGCUAUGGCUCAGUGGUAGAGCAUCUUCUUGACACACAGAAGGCUGCAGGUUCAAAACCCAGCCUCUCCA
rnacentral:tRNA from 1 species